rnacentral:rRNA from 1 species
UAACACGUAUCCAACCUGCCGAUAACUCGGGGAUAGCCUUUCGAAAGAAAGAUUAAUACCCGAUGGCAUAAUAGAACCGCAUGGUUUGAUUAUUAAAGAAUUUCGGUUAUCGAUGGGGAUGCGUUCCAUUAGGCAGUUGGUGGGGUAACGGCCCACCAAACCUUCGAUGGAUAGGGGUUCUGAGAGGAAGGUCCCCCACAUUGGAACUGAGACACGGUCCAAACUCCUACGGGAGGCAGCAGUGAGGAAUAUUGGUCAAUGGACGAGAGUCUGAACCAGCCAAGUAGCGUGAAGGAUGACUGCCCUAUGGGUUGUAAACUUCUUUUAUAUGGNAAUAAAGUGGUCCACGUGUGGAUUUUUGUAUGUACCAUAUGAAUAAGGAUCGGCUAACUCCGUGCCAGCAGCCGCGGUAAUACGGAGGAUCCGAGCGUUAUCCGGAUUUAUUGGGUUUAAAGGGAGCGUAGGUGGACAGUUAAGUCAGUUGUGAAAGUUUGCGGCUCAACCGUAAAAUUGCAGUUGAUACUGGCUGUCUUGAGUACAGUAGAGGUGGGCGGAAUUCGUGGUGUAGCGGUGAAAUGCUUAGAUAUCACGAAGAUCUCCGAUUGCGAAGGCAGCUCACUGGACUGCAACUGACACUGAUGCUCGAAAGUGUGGGUAUCAAACAGGAUUAGAUACCCUGGUAGUCCACACAGUAAACGAUGAAUACUCGCUGU